rnacentral:tRNA from 1 species
GGAAGCAUGGCCGAGUGGUUAAGGCGCGGGAUUUAAGUUCCCCGUUCAGUAAUGUAUCGUGGGUUCGAACCCCACUGCUUCCA